GAUGAACGCUGGCGGCGUGCUUAACACAUGCAAGUCGAACGAAGCACUUUAACCUGAUUCUUCGGAUGCAGGUUUUUGUGACUGAGUGGCGGACGGGUGAGUAACGCGUGGGUAACCUGCCUCAUACAGGGGGAUAACAGUUAGAAAUGACUGCUAAUACCGCAUAAGACCACAGAGCCGCAUGGCUCGGUGGGAAAAACUCCGGUGGUAUGAGAUGGACCCGCGUCUGAUUAGGUAGUUGGUGGGGUAACGGCCUACCAAGCCAACGAUCAGUAGCCGACCUGAGAGGGUGACCGGCCACAUUGGGACUGAGACACGGCCCAAACUCCUACGGGAAGCAGCAGUGGGGAAUAUUGCACAAUGGGGGAAACCCUGAUGCAGCGACGCCGCGUGAGCGAAGAAGUAUUUCGGUAUGUAAAGCUCUAUCAGCAGGGAAGAAAAUGACGGUACCUGACGAAGAAGCACCGGCUAAAUACGUG
rnacentral:rRNA from 1 species